UACAGGGGGUGCAAACGUUGCUCGGAAUCAUUGGGCGUAAAGAGCACGUAGGCGGUUCGUUAUGUCGGAUGUGAAAGCCCUUGGCUUAACCGAGGAAGUGCAUCCGAAACUGGCGAGCUAGAGUACGAAAGAGGAUCGCGGAAUUCCCGGUGUAGAGGUGAAAUUCGUAGAUAUCGGGAGGAACACCGGUGGCGAAGGCGGCGAUCUGGGUCGAUACUGACGCUGAGGUGCGAAAGCGUGGGGAGCAAACAGG
rnacentral:rRNA from 1 species